CAGUUAUCAAAUAUCCUUAUAUUUGAGGGAAACUUUUGAUCAUAGAAAAACUUGCCGUAAAAUAAUUUUCACUUAAUAAUCUAACUUAGCUUUAGUAAAAUUUAAUUUGCAUUCAAUAAACAAAACACCUUUCUGACAUAGCCAUGUGCGUGUUCUCUUUCCGAACUUCUAAAUAAUCUAUUAAGAAAGAGGAGCGCCUGCGGGAGAAUUGAAGAUAAAACUUGCAAGACACAUCUCGGGAGCUUCUCUGGAUACUACAGUGCUCCCGCGGGGGUCAUUCGGGCAUUUGACAGAACCAAACUUCAUGGAUCCCACCCUACCGGUUUGAUUUAGCCUCGUCUGUGGAGCACUGAUGGAGACCUAAAGCUCACUACGCCAGCCGCCCUGAGGACCGUCGACUUCCACCCACUCCAUGUGCGCGGUGUGACCCAUUCUAAGCCAGGCCGAUCCUCAAUCCAUACACCCGACGUGAUGACGUGACUCUGACGUCAUCCAUCAUCAGGCACUUCGUUGAACGAAUUUGGCGGGAUUGGCGCGUUUACUCUUUCAUCUCAAGAUCCAAAUGAACAAAAUAGAAACAUGGCCGAACAUCAUUCAAUAAACUGAUUUUCUUUG